UAGGCACGCAGUGUAACACCCCUCAAUUCCGAAUGUUCGUAUAAAUUUUUGGUGAUAAUGUAAGCAUCUAUUUUAAUUGACAAAAGAAAUAGAGUAUGAAUCAGAGGUAACUUAUUUUUAAGAUUUGGGAGAUCUGUUCAAAAAAAAAAAAGAAAAAAAGAAAGAAUCUGAGGACCUAUAUGUAAACCCUAAGGACCUAAUCGUGAAUAUGAUAAAAACAAGGACUAAACUGCAAAAUGCACCAAAUGACAAAUUCCACCGCUUAAGCCUCUCUGCCUUCGUUGUUAAGGAAGCAAAGGAGGCAGCUCGUGGGUGAUCAGGGAAAGAAAAGAAGAAGAAGAAGAAGAAGAAGAAGAAGGAGAAGAGAAAGAAAAUUUGGGGCUUUUAGGGUUUUUGCUUUAAUCUUGUUACUUCGGGUCAAAAUUUGCAAAGGAUAGCGUAACUCUUGCUUAAAUGUUAAGAAUGGGCUGAGGCAGCGGAAAGUUUAGAAGACGUUGGGCAGAACUUUUGUUAGCAUAUAUGUAGUUGUGUAUAAGCUACCUUGCAUCUAAUGAAAUGUGACUAUGAAUCUAAACCUGUGGAUUUUGUGUAAGUUAAAGGAUCCCUCAUGUAUAGGGUUUUGGAAUGUUAAAUUAAAUUGUGUAAUGAUAUGAACUUAUGGUAAAUCGAUGAUUGUGGUGACUGCA